GGAAGAAGAAGAAGAAGAAGAAGAAGAAGAAGAGGGAAAAAAAAAAGGAUGCUCCAACAGGAGGAAGAAGAAGAAGAAAAAGAAAAAGAGAAGAAAAAAUUGCUCUGCCUGACUUCGCUUUUUUUUUUCCGGCGGAAAAAAAAACGAGAGAACGAAGAGGAGAGAGAAAGAGGAAAGAGAAAAAGUAAUAAGGAUAUUUUGGUCAGUUUGCUGAAAAAACGGACCGAAUCUAUAAAAACGAAAAAGGUGGCUCGAUUUUGCAAGCCCAAAAUAAAUGGAUUUUUUAUGCAAAUUGGCCAAAAUUUUAUCACAUCUUUUUGAAAAUAGCUCUACUCAACAACACUUCUCGUAUUUCUUUCUUUUCUCAAGGUAAAUACAUCAGUAAUCUCACAGAAACUCUAAUUUGAAAAUUUUUAUUCAACUUAC
rnacentral:lncRNA from 1 species